UACGUAGGCUGCGAGCGUUGUUCGGAGUUACUGGGCGUAAAGAGUGCGUAGGCGGUUUUCUAAGUUUGGUGUGAAAUCUCCCGGCUUAACUGGGAGGGUGCGCCGAAAACUGGAAGGCUUGAGUAUGGGAGAGGUAAGCGGAAUUCCUGGUGUAGAGGUGAAAUUCGUAGAUAUCGGGAGGAACACCGGUGGCGAAGGCGGCGACCUGGGUAGAUACUGACGCUGAGGCGCGAAAGCGUGGGGAGCAAACAGG
rnacentral:rRNA from 1 species